UACGUAGGGUGCAAGCGUUGUCCGGAAUUAUUGGGCGUAAAGAGCUCGUAGGCGGUUUGUCGCGUCUGCUGUGAAAACCCAGGGCUUAACCCUGGGCCUGCAGUGGGUACGGGCAAACUAGAGUGCGGUAGGGGAGAUCGGAAUUCCUGGUGUAGCGGUGAAAUGCGCAGAUAUCAGGAGGAACACCGGUGGCGAAGGCGGAUCUCUGGGCCGUAACUGACGCUGAGGAGCGAAAGCGUGGGGAGCGAACAGG
rnacentral:rRNA from 1 species